UUUAUGGAGAGUUUGAUCCUGGCUCAGGAUGAACGCUGGCGGCGUGCCUAAUACAUGCAAGUCGAGCGAACGGACGAGAAGCUUGCUUCUCUGAUGUUAGCGGCGGACGGGUGAGUAACACGUGGAUAACCUACCUAUAAGACUGGGAUAACUUCGGGAAACCGGAGCUAAUACCGGAUAAUAUUUUGAACCGCAUGGUUCAAAAGUAAAAGACGGUCUUGCUGUCACUUAUAGAUGGAUCCGCGCUGCAUUAGCUAGUUGGUAAGGUAACGGCUUACCAAGGCAACGAUGCAUAGCCGACCUGAGAGGGUGAUCGGCCACACUGGAACUGAGACACGGUCCAGACUCCUACGGGAGGCAGCAGUAGGGAAUCUUCCGCAAUGGGCGAAAGCCUGACGGAGCAACGCCGCGUGAGUGAUGAAGGUCUUCGGAUCGUAAAACUCUGUUAUUAGGGAAGAACAUAUGUGUAAGUAACUGUGCACAUCUUGACGGUACCUAAUCAGAAAGCCACGGCUAACUACGUGCCAGCAGCCGCGGUAAUACGUAGGUGGCAAGCGUUAUCCGGAAUUAUUGGGCGUAAAGCGCGCGUAGGCGGUUUUUUAAGUCUGAUGUGAAAGCCCACGGCUCAACCGUGGAGGGUCAUUGGAAACUGGAAAACUUGAGUGCAGAAGAGGAAAGUGGAAUUCCAUGUGUAGCGGUGAAAUGCGCAGAGAUAUGGAGGAACACCAGUGGCGAAGGCGACUUUCUGGUCUGUAACUGACGCUGAUGUGCGAAAGCGUGGGGAUCAAACAGGAUUAGAUACCCUGGUAGUCCACGCCGUAAACGAUGAGUGCUAAGUGUUAGGGGGUUUCCGCCCCUUAGUGCUGCAGCUAACGCAUUAAGCACUCCGCCUGGGGAGUACGACCGCAAGGUUGAAACUCAAAGGAAUUGACGGGGACCCGCACAAGCGGUGGAGCAUGUGGUUUAAUUCGAAGCAACGCGAAGAACCUUACCAAAUCUUGACAUCCUU
rnacentral:rRNA from 1 species